GGGUCUCUCUAGUUAGACCAGAUUUGAGCCUGGGGGCUCUCUGGCUAGCUGGGGAACCCAC
rfam:HIV-1 isolate VI850 from Democratic Republic of the Congo, complete genome.